GUCCUUUUGAAUUUUUAUUUAAGGUCUAGUCUGCCCACUGAAUUUAUAUUUUAAAUGGCCGCAGUAUUUUGACUGUGCAAAGGUAGCAUAAUCAUUAGUUUUUUAAUUAAAAGCUUGUAUGAAAGGCUGGACGAGGUAAAAUCUGUCUCUAUUUAAAUUAUAGUAGAAUUUAUCUUUUAAGUUAAAAGACUUAAAUAUUAUUAAAAGACGAGAAGACCCUAUAGAUCUUUAUAAUUUGUUAAAUGAAAUUAAUUUAGAAAUUUUUAUGUUUUAUUUAAUUAGAUUAUUUUAUUGGGGUAAUAAAAAGAUUGAAUUAAUUCUUUUUUAUAAUUAACAUUGAUAUAUGAAUAUUAAUGAUCCAGUUUUAUUGAUUAUAAGAUUAAGUUACCUUAGGGAUAACAGCGUAAUUUUUUUAGAGAGUUCAUAUCGAUAAAAAAGUUUGCGACCUCGAUGUUGGAUUAAAGAUUAUUUUAGGUGCAGAAGCUUAAUAAUUUUGGUCUGUUCGACCAUUAAAUCUUUAC
rnacentral:rRNA from 1 species